rnacentral:rRNA from 1 species
CACUGGGUAACCUGCCCAAGAGACUGGGAUAACACCUGGAAACAGAUGCUAAUACCGGAUAACAACACUAGACGCAUGUCUAGAGUUUAAAGAUGGUUCUGCUAUCACUCUUGGAUGGACCUGCGGUGCAUUAGCUAGUUGGUAAGGUAACGGCUUACCAAGGCAAUGAUGCAUAGCCGAGUUGAGAGACUGAUCGGCCACAUUGGGACUGAGACACGGCCCAAACUCCUACGGAAGGCAGCAG